rnacentral:rRNA from 1 species
CGGUACAGAGAUAGCUUGCUAUCUGCUGACGAGCGGCGGACGGGUGAGUAAUGCUUGGGAAUAUGCCUUUGAGUGGGGGACAACAGUUGGAAACGACUGCUAAUACCGCAUAACGUCUACGGACCAAAGGGGGGGAUUCUUCGGAACCUCUCGCUCAUUGAUUAGCCCAAGUGAGAUUAGCUAGUUGGUAAGGUAAUGGCUUACCAAGGCGACGAUCUCUAGCUGGUUUGAGAGGAUGAUCAGCCACACUGGGACUGAGACACGGCCCAGACUCCUACGGGAGGCAGCAGUGGGGAAUAUUGCACAAUGGGCGAAAGCCUGAUGCAGCCAUGCCGCGUGUGUGAAGAAGGCCUUCGGGUUGUAAAGCACUUUCAGCGAGGAGGAAAGGGAUGUAGUUAAUAACUGCAUUCUGUGACGUUACUCGCAGAAGAAGCACCGGCUAACUUCGUGCCAGCAGCCGCGGUAAUACGAGGGGUGCAAGCGUUAAUCGGAAUUACUGGGCGUAAAGCGUGCGUAGGUGGUUUGUUAAGCAAGAUGUGAAAGCCCUGGGCUCAACCUGGGAACUGCAUUUUGAACUGGCAAGCUAGAGUUUUGUAGAGGGUAGUGGAAUUUCCAGUGUAGCGGUGAAAUGCGUAGAGAUUGGAAGGAACAUCAG